UACGGGGGGGGGCAAGCGUUGUUCGGAAUUACUGGGCGUAAAGGGCUCGUAGGCGGCCACCGCAAGUCGACUGUGAAAUCUCCGGGCUUAACUCGGAACGGUCAAGUGAUACUGUCGGACUAGAGUACAGAAGGGGCAACUGGAAUUCUCGGUGUAGCGGUGAAAUGCGUAGAUAUCGAGAGGAACACCUGCGGCGAAGGCGGGUUGCUGGGCUGAUACUGACGCUGGAGGCGCGAAAGCCUAGGGGAGCGAACGGG
rnacentral:rRNA from 1 species